CUUAAUCAUGAUGGGGCCACUCAGAAGAGGAGUAAACAGGAGGUGGAAGAAAAAGAGCUGUGCCAUCUGCAGAGUAGUUUCCCCUUCUUACUCAUACAGCAGAAAUAUGAGACCACAACUGAUAACUCAGCGACACUGUAUUUUGAGUUAUGGUCUCCCCCAACCUUGGGAAUUGUCCUUCCUACACGCCCACAGCAAAUUCUCCCACCACGCUCCAUGAGCUAAAACAGAUUCAAGUGUCAAACAAGAUAUUCUCACCCCAUACAGAAUCUAAGGGAAUUUCCAUGCGACAAAUGUGUAUUGAGCACCUACUGUGUGCAAGGAACUGCAAGGGAUGGUUAAGUUUAAAGCUGCACAAACCAGGGUCUUUAAUUUUUAGGAGCUGUAAAACAACCAAGCACCUAAAAAGUCAUACUAAAGGUGGUAAAAAAAAGAAAAGGAAAACCAAAAAUAAAGAUCAUAAGAAAUGAAUGUAGUACAGUGGGAUUCUACAGGAGUGAGAGGUUAUUUCUUGCUUUGAGAUAGAGGGAAGCUUCAGGGAGGAGCUAGAAUUUCAUCUGGAUUCCAAAUAGUGGCAACGAUUGAGGAAGAGAGUGUUAUGUAAAAUCUUAGAGAAAAGAAAAUGUGGAGAACAUUUAUGUCGUGAGUGAUGGCUGACAAUGACAUUGAAAGGACAUUGCAGGUGAGAAGAGGAAACAUGCCGAGGUCUACACUAAGGCUGGAGUUUGUUCUGUAGGUGAAAGACAAUCACUGAUGGACUUUAAACAGGCAUAAUGACAUGGUGUAAUUUUGCACAUGGAUAACUACUUCGGUAGCUCUGCGAUGGUGGGCUAGAGGGGAGGCAGGGAGAUCAAUCAGGAAAGGAGAGGAGGAAGAAGAGCCAAUUCUUAGUGAGAGGUGCCCCAAAGCCCCCAGGAAACUUCAUGAUGUGAUGCAGAAUCCUGGACUUAUAAGCCAUGACCUUGGGGGGAGUUUCUAACUUUUUCUAUGCUUCAGUUUCCUCCUCCAUAAAUCAAGGAUCACAAUAGCAGCUAUUUCAUUGGGCUGUAAAGAUUAAAUGAAUAGAUAUGUACAAAACCCUUAGAUCUGCGUCUAGGAAACUGUAAGCACUCAAUAAUGUUAUGUAUUAUUAGUAAGGCAGUGGUAAGAAGAGACAGUAAGGAGUAGAUUUGAAUGCUAUUAUGCUAUAUAAUUAUGUCAUUAUUUAUAUGGGAGUUAUUUUCAGCUAUUUGCCUACAGAACAUAAUUCUAUCAUUUAGUAAGCAAAGCAAGAAAUCAAGUUGUUACCACAGCAUUUAUUAUAUUUUAUUUAUUCCCCUUGACUGAUUUCUUCUAGAAUAUGUCUCAGACUUUGAGAUAAUAUAUGAAGUUGUCCUUGACAUAUAUUAGUUUUAAAAGGGGGCUUGGAAAUGUAAUAGAACCAUUUGAGCUAUGUAGUCGCAAUUAGUCAUAAUUGAUGUUUGGCCUUCUAUAUCCAUCUAUCUAUCAUUAAUUACCUAAUUAAUUAAUACUUUCUUACAUUCCACCUAACUUAUGAGAACUUAAAAAUCCUAAGAUCUUUUGAAAAUAAAGCCAUGUCAUCUUCAUAACCUCCUUGACGUAGGGAGAGUAUAUUAACAAAGGUUUAGAAUGAUAGUUCUCUCAACCCCUGCCCUGUCUUUCUUUUUUCCCUCUGCUCUACCUCCACUGCCUAAAUCAUUGCUGCUAAGCUGUCAUCCAGGAGCUGUGGGGAGAGCUGGAGAAGGCCUUCUUGGGUUGCCCUGCAUGCUGCUUUGAGACCUUGGGAAAAAGGCAUAAGGCAAAUUGAGACCGACAAGAGUGAACAGUGGUGAAAAGCAGCUCUCCUCGUUCAGGACCAGGAAAAGAGGAAAAUAGGGAGAGAUAAGCAAUUCUUCUUCACUGUUUCCUGUAUAUUCUGAAGUGGACUUAUCUGUGGUCUAGACCACACUGAAAAUAUGAAGGUCAUGAUAACGGAGACAUCUGCAGUCAACAUCUAACUGUAAAAUGUUUCUCUUGAUCUAUUUUGGGCCUUAAUAAUAAUCCAAGGGAAUCCCUGGGUGGCUCAGCAGUUCAGCGCCUGCCUUCGCCCAGGGCGUGAUCCUGGAGACCCGGGAUCGAGUCCCAUGUGGGGCUCCCUGCAUGGAGCCUACUCUCUCCCUCUGCCUGUGUCUCUGCCUCCUCUCUCUCUCUCUUUGUCUAUCAUAAAUGAAUAAAUAAAUAAAAUCUCAAAACAAUUAAAAAAAUAAUCCAAGACGUAGGAAAGGAAUCAUAGGUGUCAGUGGGAUGGCAAAAUGACCAACGCACCUCUCAGAGAAGAACAAGAGUGUGGGAUGUUCUGAUGGUUCACAUCUCUUGAGCCCUUUCUCUGGGCACUCUUUGGCCUUCCCAUUGCAGGGACCCCUCCUCCACAACAGACACCUGGCUGCCUCCUUUCCCACCUGAGACAGGGGAUGAGAUUGAAGGAGCAGGGACUUGCCUCAGGGCUCAUCCUGAAUGCUCUCUUGACUCAGAAAGCAUGGAGUAGCCAUCUUCUCCCCUGGGAAGGAUCCUGGAGUGUGAGAGACUGAACAAUCCAGAAAAGGAGAAGUUGGAGCGAUACCCCCAUCUCCUCGCACUUGGUUGUGCCAAGCAGCUUCCUGCACAGGCCACCCCUCCCCCAACUUUCUGCCAACAUGCCUUUUAGGAGGAAGAGGAAAUGGACUGGACUUCUAAAACUUGAAGAAAAAUCCCGUUCCCUACAAUGGUGCCUAUAAUUUCAGUAGAAGUGCUAAGUCGGGGUGUGGAGGGGCCCCAGGCAAAUGUUGCAGUGCAACUUGGUUUUCCGAAGAGGUAAGCCCACCACAAGAGACAUACUAGCGGUGUGGACUUGAAGACUUUCAGUUCCUGUGAUGGUCAUUGCUCAUUCCACAUAAUUAAUAAAUUGCCUUCAGGUUUAUAUAUCUACCUUGUGAACUUGGUAAACGUGAAUUGUCCCUGCAGGAGAGGCGCUGACGAUCCAUACAUCUGUGCUGGCUGCAUUCUGGGCAAUGUUCUGGGUCCCGGUGACUUCACCAGGAUGAUGAAUGAAGACCUCGUGGCACAAGCACUGAGCCAAAAAUGGUAUAUGAAUCUUCAAGUUAACAUCCACCUACUAGCAAUUAAAUUACUUAACUCAUUAGUUACUUAACUGAGUGCAAUUUUCUCAAUCUUUCUGUCUCAAAGGGAUGAGUGUACGUGAGGUCUAUGUCACUCUCCUUACCUUUUGGCCAAAGGAUAACUAAUGUAGGGGACAAGUAUUAAAAGUUUGGGUCUUGGACUCACUUGUUUUUGUAGUGCCUCUCCUGGGACAGGUCUUAACAUGGGAACACAAGGAGAAAGGGUGGUGUUUUGUCUUCACGGGAUGCCUCUCCUUGCCCCUAAAACCAAAUGGAGCUCUCACAGGGUGCCUCCAUAUUCACGAUGGACACCAUGGUGCCAUUUUCCAUGUGUCUCUAGCACCUUGCACAGUGUUUGAUAUAAAGUAAGCCCUCAAAUGUAGCUAUGUGAUAACUACCAGGAGGUAAAAUCUGGGAGCUUUGUUAAAUCCUGUGUGUGAUUGGAAAGCUGUUGAUUCACCUGAAUGCUGGCUACAGCCUCUCUAAAAGAAGCUUAAAAACAACAUAUUUACUUUGCCUAUUCAAUAAUUAGAUAUUAAGAGACAUUUAUGUGAGCUGCUUCUGGUUUACUCACACCCAGCAACGUAAUACGUAUCAUACUUGGCAUUACAUUUGUAUGAGAUUACCUUUGUUGGAAAUUUUCUUUGAUUGCAGUAGCAAACUUUACUUAUGCUUAAGAUACAUUUACAGAACAUAGAGCUUAAUCUACAAGUAACACCAGAAACCCUUCUCAAGGUUGCCUAGUCAUACUUCCUGAUGGCUCAGACUUCACAGGAUGCAGCACACAUUCCACAUUCAUCCCUUCACAAAUUUAAAAAGGGGGAAGAAAAAAAGAAAGAAAGAAGAGAAAGUACCUUGCUCAGAAUUAAAGGUAGGGCAAGGGUAGGCAGUAUGAGAACAGUCAGUGCAGAACAUUGUGCAGAGCCCACUCCUGGGGACAUGAAGCCUAUGAGGCAUCUGGAGAAAGCCAGUGACCAUGGGAUGGGGAGGAGAAACAGGGAGCAGUAGCGGGGCCGGCAGAAAUCUGGCAUCUUUUUCCUCUCCUGGAUACAAAGGUAAUGACAUUGAAAUCCUACUAAAGGGUUAUGGAUUUAAUAACCUUUCAUAACCCGAUUCAGUGCCCUAAAUUCAGAGUAACAAAGCCUGAGCCAUUUAAUGAUCAAAAGCCUUUUUUUUUCUCCCCCACAGAGAGUUAAUGGAAGAAUAAAAACUAAAUGUGUAAAAUUAACCUUCUACCUCCAUAGCAUUUGUCCUUUUCAUUCCCAAGUACAUGUUUGUAAAAACGCAUUGUGCUGCACUGAAUGUUUCUCUUCUAGUUCAGAUCAGAGUUUCUUACAUCCAACCACUUGCCAAGCUCUGUACGUUACCUCCCCCCCCCCCCCAAUAGCUUUCAAAUCUUCUGUCUUAGGACAAGUUCACCAGAAGGACAUCUCAGAGGGAAGAGUCAUAUGUGAGUAAUUUAUUAAGGAAGUUCUUCCAGGAGAAGCAGGUACGGGAAUAAGGGAAGUAAAGACAGGGAAUGGCAUGGUUUCAGCUGGUGCCAGGGAGAACUUUGAAGCUUAAAUUAUGCCUUGGAAUUUGUCCCAAGUGGAAUCAAAGCGACUAGGCUUUUAUGUUUUGUUUUUUGUAAUCACUGGCUGAGGACUGUGGGAUUUGAAGGGUUAGUGGUUUUCGAGGUGGGGGGCGUUGUGUGCAGAGAGUAAAUUUGUAGUCACUUUGAGCUCCUCAUGCCUCUGGGCAAAGCCCCCCCCACCCCCCCAGGGGUCAAGUGGUGUCUCUAUAGGAGAAGCACAGGUGGGAAGGGGACAUAUGGGCAUUCAAGCCCAAGUGCAUCUAUAGGGGAUGUACGCAAAGUGUUACUGAGGAUGACAAUGGACUUGGGUGGACAUAGGAAGUGACAACCUCUUCCUAAUUCUUUUCCCACCACUGUUCACCUUUAGUUCAUGUCCCUGUGAUUAUUUCUCUUUUGGAAUAUGUCCUGGGUUCCCAAUCCAUAUUCUUGGAUCCCCACAGACCUCCUCUAGUCAAUCCUUGUGUUCAGCAGUCUUUCCAGAUUGCAAACCUAGUGAUGCUAGUUCAGUGCUUAGAUCCCUUCAGUCACUGCCUCCUUAACAUGGCUUGCCUGAUGCUCUUGAUCUGAUUCCUGACCCCAGAUUCCUAGGAUGGCAACUUGACAGCCUUGUGGUAGUCCUUGCUGCUCUCAGACCUUUGGAUUUUGUAAAGCUAUGCCCGCUGCUUGGAAAGAUCUUUGUCCAUCUCCUCACCUGGCUCACUGUUAUUCUUUUUUGAAGAACCACCCUAAUCUUCAUGGCCUCUGACUUCCCAUUACACCCUGGCCUCACACUGCUAGAUUUGCCACAUUCUGUUUCCCCACCAGACCUGCCACAUUCUGUUUCCCCACCAGACCAUUUUAUUUCCCCAUCAGACAUUUCUCUUUAAGAAAGCCCUGUGUCCUGUUCAUCUCUGAUCUCAUUGUUUUUGGAUUCUUAUAGAAGACAAGAUGAAAUGAAGGAGGAGUGAAGAUCUGUCUUUGCAGGUAUCUGCAGAAUGAAUGUGGUCUGCAGGCUUCAAAAGCCUCAUUCUUUAUUUGUUAAGUCAUAGGAGCCAGGCAAAGGGUUGAUCACCUCUAUGUGCCAGAUAAAGGGCUCACGGUACAUUGUCACAUGCAGUCCUCUUGCAUGAGGACUGAGGGGAAUGUUAUUAUCCAAGCCUCUGAUGUCUCUGGAGAUCAGGAGGACCCAUUCUCUUAAAAAUACCAGGUGGCGCAGCGGUUUAGCGCCGCCUGCAGCCCGGGGUGUGAUCCUGGGGUCCCGGGAUAGAGUCCCACGUCAGGCUCCCUGCAUGAAGUCUGCCUGUGUCU